rnacentral:pre_miRNA from 1 species
CAUAGAGUUAAUCUCGGCCCUCCAAAAUAAAUUCAACGGCUGAGAUUCGUCCGCGUCAUCACGAGUUAAAAUUUAACUCGCAGGAGUAAAAAUUUUACUGUCACGAGUUAAAAUUUAACUCCAGUAAAAUUUUAACUCCUGAAAUUUUACUGUAGUUAAAUUUUAACUCGUGACAGUAAAAUUUUUACUCCUGCGAGUUAAAUUUUAACUCAUGAUGACGCGGACGAAUCUCAGCCAUUAGAUUUGUUUUGGAGGGCCGAGAUCCACCCUAUG